rnacentral:rRNA from 1 species
UACGUAGGGGGCGAGCGUUGUCCGGAUUCAUUGGGCGUAAAGCGCGCGUAGGCGGCUCCGCAAGUCGGCCGUGAAAUCUCCGGGCUCAACUCGGAGGGUCGGGCGAGACUGCGAGGCUCGAGGUGGGCAGAGGGCAGUGGAAUUCCGGGUGUAGUGGUGGAAUGCGUAGAGAUCCGGAGGAACACCAGUGGCGAAGGCGGCUGCCUGGGCCUGGCCUGACGCUGAGGCGCGAAAGCGUGGGUAGCAAACGAGG